UUCAUAUUUUGUGAUUUAAAUGUUGUAAAUGUUACAAGCUUUGUUCUUGCUUUUGAAUUUAUAAAUUUUGCUAGAAAAUUUAGCAUCUCAAAUGUUGUAGAUGUAUUUCAUUUAAGCAUGAAUAUUGGAACUAAAAUUUGGUGCCAUGUGUUUUGGGAAAUUCGGCCAAAUCCAAAGGGUGAUUUUUUGGGUUCAUGUUUGUCUUGUUAAAAUGGUUUUAAAGUGACUUUUGGAACCCCUAAGUACCCUAGGAUGUUAGCCCUCUUUUGAGUGUUGAAAAAAUGAGUUUUGGUAAGUGAAAACAUUCAUGGAGCUAUUAUGAGUUUUCAUGAGUGUUCUUCAAUGUUCUUGAAGUUCUUGCCAAGAACAUAAAGUUUUGAAGUUUUUGAUUCAAAAGUUUUAUGUUUUUCAUAAAGUUUUGGUUUAAAUUUUGAUGAUUGAGGUUAUUGGUGAGAUGUGAUGGAAUGGUUUUAAUAUUUGUCAUAAUUAGUCAUAGACUUUAUUUUUCAAACAAAUCAUCACUUUCACCCUUUUCCUCACCCACCAAAAACAACUUUCAAAAUUUUUUAGAUUUUUUUUCAAAACAUCAUUAAAUGGCCGGCCACCCCAAGUGUGGAUGUUUUUGGGGCCUUUUGUGCAAUUACAUAAAGUUUUAGAUACUUUUGUGUAUUUGCAUUUUGGCCCAAAAGUUUAGGUUUUUACAAAGUGACCCCAAAAGAAUGAGAACAAAAUUGUUUUGUCUCUUUAAUGAGAAUUGGAUUUUCAUUUCAUUUAGUUCCAUUUAAAUCAAUUCUAUGGAUCCAAAAACCAAUUGUUUAAAAUUGUUUUAUUAGUUAAUGUGAUUGAUUAAGAAAAGGGUGAUUAUGAACCAUAGGCCUCAAUAAUUGAGCUAUGUGAUUGGCCGAUAUACAUUAUGAAUGUUUGGGUUUUAGUAGUAUAGAUUUGAAUGUAAUUUGAUUAAUUCAAUUUGUUGUAAAUGGACAUAAGUCCAUCAUUUGAUUUGUGUUGUAAA
rnacentral:lncRNA from 1 species